rnacentral:rRNA from 1 species
AGGGCUUCGGCCCCGGUACAGCGGCGCACGGGUGAGUAACACGUAGGUAAUCUUCCCUCGAGCGGGGGAUAACCUUCCGAAAGGAGGGCUAAUACCGCAUAAGACCACAGAGACGAAAGUCUCCGAGGUCAAAGCCGGCCUCUAUACAUAAGCUGGCACUUGAGGAUGAGCCUGCGGCCCAUCAGCUAGUUGGUAGGGUAAUGGCCUACCAAGGCGAAGACGGGUAGCUGGUCUGAGAGGAUGAUCAGCCACACUGGAACUGAGACACGGUCCAGACUCCUACGGGAGGCAGCAGUGGGGAAUCUUGCGCAAUGGGGGCAACCCUGACGCAGCGACGCCGCGUGAGUGAUGAAGGCCUUCGGG